ACUCCUCCCAUGGGUUGGAAUAGUUGGAAUCACUUCUCUUGCCAAAUCAAUGAGACACUAAUCAAAGAAACAGCCGAUGCAAUGGUGUCAACUGGACUCGCGAAGCUUGGAUAUCAAUACGUCAACAUCGAUGAUUGCUGGGCUGAGCACGA